rnacentral:rRNA from 1 species
UACGUAGGGUGCGAGCGUUGUCCGGAAUUAUUGGGCGUAAAGAGCUCGUAGGCGGUGUGUCACGUCGGCCGUGAAAACCUGCAGCUUAACUGUGGGCGUGCGGUCGAUACGGGCAUCACUGGAGUUCGGCAGGGGAGACUGGAAUUCCUGGUGUAGCGGUGAAAUGCGCAGAUAUCAGGAGGAACACCGGUGGCGAAGGCGGGUCUCUGGGCCGUAACUGACGCUGAGGAGCGAAAGCGUGGGGAGCAAACAGG